rnacentral:rRNA from 1 species
GAACCGUUAUAACCGGCGAUUUCCGAAUGGGGAAACCCAGUGUGUUUCGACACACUAUCAUUAACUGAAUCCAUAGGUUAAUGAGGCGAACCGGGGGAACUGAAACAUCUAAGUACCCCGAGGAAAAGAAAUCAACCGAGAUUCCCCCAGUAGCGGCGAGCGAACGGGGAGGAGCCCAGAGCCUGAAUCAGUGUGUGUGUUAGUGGAAGCGUCUGGAAAGGCGCGCGAUACAGGGUGACAGCCCCGUACACAAAAAUGCACAUACUGUGAGCUCGAUGAGUAGGGCGGGACACGUGGUAUCCUGUCUGAAUAUGGGGGGACCAUCCUCCAAGGCUAAAUACUCCUGACUGACCGAUAGUGAACCAGUACCGUGAGGGAAAGGCGAAAAGAACCCCGGCGAGGGGAGUGAAAAAGAACCUGAAACCGUGUACGUACAAGCAGUGGGAGCCUCUUU